GAGUCAGUCUGAUAUGUUUGAUCCACGUCUUCAGGCAAAGAUACUUAAUGUGGUUGAUGUGUCCUAUGGUGGGGAAAAUGGAUUCAGUCAGGCCAUCGAGCUAUCUGCUGAGAUUCUCUCGAAUGUGAAGUUCAUACAAGAGAAGCGCUUGAUAGGAAAAUUCUUUGAGGAGAUCAGUCAAGAUACUGGAAAGUAUGUAUUUGGUGUGGAUGACACAAUAAAAGCUCUGGAGAUGGGAGCUGUUGAAACUCUUGUCGUUUGGGAAAAUCUUGAUAUAAACCGUUAUGUGCUGAAAAAUAGUGUUACCAAUGAGAUUGUCAUUAAGCACCUAAACAAGGACCAAGAGGCUGAUCAAAGCAACUUCAAGGAUUCUGAAAAUUCAGCUGAAUUGGAGGUCCAGGACAAAAUGCCGCUAUUGGAGUGGUUCGCCAAUGAGUACAAAACCUUUGGUUGUUCACUUGAGUUUGUCACUAACAGGUCUCAAGAGGGGUCGCAGUUCUGCCGAGGAUUUGGUGGCAUUGGGGGCAUCCUUCGUUACCAGCUUGACAUGCGUUCGUUUGAUGAGCCAUCUGAUGAAGGGGAAUAUUUUGAAGAUUCUGAUUAAGCUUAUUUCCGUCUCCUUAGCCCAUAUGAUGGAUAAAGAGAUGCAAUUUGUUGAAAGUUUUGAGGUUAUCUUAGCAAUGAGUCUCGUGCUAUCAUCCUUAGUAUCAAUCACCGAGUCUUUGAUGUUGUUAAAAAUUGUUUGCUUUUCCUUUACAUGUGAAACAGGUUUCAUUUCGGGACUAUCUUCAAUUGGAAACAGGACUUCUUAUUGUUUUGAGCCUAUCUACCUUACACUUGUGAGUUUGCUACUGCUGUUAUGAACUAUGUCUUGCUUUUAAUGGGAUUUAAAUUGCUAG
rnacentral:misc_RNA from 1 species